rnacentral:rRNA from 1 species
GGAAUCUUCCACAAUGGGCGCAAGCCUGAUGGAGCAACACCGCGUGAGUGAAGAAGGGUUUCGGCUCGUAAAGCUCUGUUGUUAAAGAAGAACACGUAUGAGAGUAACUGUUCAUACGUUGACGGUAUUUAACCAGAAAGUCACGGCUAACUACGUGUCCAG